rnacentral:ncRNA from 1 species
GUUCAAACGAGGAAGGGCUUACGGUGGAUACCUAGGCACCUAGAGACGAGGAAGGGCGUGGUAAAUGACAAAAUUAUUCGAUGAGUUGAAAAUGAGCAUAGAUCCGAAGAUUCCCAAAUAGGUUAACCUUUUUAACUAUUGUUGAAUCCAUGGGCAGGCAAGAGACAACCUGGAAAACUGAAACAUCUUAGUAGCCAUAGGAAUAGAAAGAAAAAGUCAUUCCCGUAGUAGCGGCAAGCGAAAUGGGAGCAACCUAAACCGUGAAAACGGGGUUGUGGGAGAGCACAAUAUAAUCUUUGUGCUGCUAGGCGAAGCAGUUGAGUCCUGCACCCCAAAUGGUGAGAGUCCAGUAGCCAAAAACAUCAUUGGGUUACGCUCUAACUCGAAUAGCAUGGGGCACGUGGAAUCCCGUGUGAAUCAGCAAAGACCACCUUGCAAGGCUCAAUACUCCUAGGUGACCGAUAGUGAAGUAAUACAUGAGGGAAAGGUGAAAAGAACCCCCAUCGGGGAGUGAAAUAGAACAUGAAAUCGUAAGCUCCCAAGUAGUGGGAGGAAAAUGAUAUCUCUGACCACGUUCCUGUUGAAGAAUGAGCCGACGACUUAUAGGAAGUGGCUUGGUUAAGGGAACCCACCGGAGCCGUAGUGAGAGCGAGUCUUCAUGGGGCAAUUGUCAAUGCUUAUGGACCUGAACCUGGGUGAUCUAUCCAUGACCAGGAUGAAGCUUGGGUGAAGCUAAGUGGAGGUCCGAACCGAGUGAUGUUGAAAAAUCAGUGGACAAGUCGUGGUUAGGGGUGAAAUGCCACUUGUACCCAGAGCUAGCUGGUUCUCCCUGAAAUACGUUGAGGCGCAACAAUUGACUGGACCAUCUAGGGGUAAAACAUUUUUUCGGUACAGGCCGCGAGAGCCGUAACAAAUCAAGGAAAACUCUGAAUACUAGAUUGCCCCAAUAAAAGGGGUAAAGGUCAUCCACUGAGACGAUGGGGGAUAAGAUUCAUCAUCGAGAGGGAAACAACCCAGAUCAUCACCUAAGGCCCCUAAAUGACCACUUAGUGAUGAAGGAAGUAUGAGUGCAAAGACAACCAAGAGGUUUACCUAGAAGCAGUCAACCUUGAAAGAGUGUGUAAUAGCUCACUAAUCGAGUGCUCUUGCG